rnacentral:lncRNA from 1 species
AUGUUUAUUUACUUCAAUAAGUAAUUUAGAAAAAAUGAUUUUCUAGAAUUUUUUUCUAUCACAACUUAAUUACUUUUACAUUGAAAAGAAUUCUUCAAGUAAAUUGGUAAACAUUGUUACCCAACAUCAUAUUUUUUCGGUGGAAAACUUAUCCAGCAUCUAAGAAAAGGAACAAUGUCCUAGUUGUAUUAACUAUAAAUCUAUUUUCUACAUAUAGAUAAUUUAUGUAAACCCUACAUGAGUUCAGAUUAAAGUCACC